rnacentral:lncRNA from 1 species
UUUUGGUUGGCAUCUGGGAAAGAGAGAGAGACCCCCUUUGGCUUUAGGAAAAGCCGAGCGAUGAUAUCCUUUAUUUCUUUGUUUGUUUGAAUGGAUAGAUGAUGGUAUCGAUCAACAAUUUCACUUCUAGGUAUACCUCCUCUUUUUCUUUCUGUUAUGGAGUAGGUAUGCAUGAAAGUAAGGGAAAUAUCAAUGAUCAACUAAUUCCUACAAUACUUUAAUUUUCCUCUUGAUCUUCUAUCUAUGUAUGUAUAGAUACAUUUUCCAUUACUCGAUCGAUCAUUUCAUAACUGAAAAUGCAGCAAACACCACAUGACGUACGUAAUAUUCUCUUCUCCCUCCUAAUUGGAUCUCUCGCUCAUCAUCACUUUUGAUCAAAUCAUAUCAUCAAAUCCCUAAAAACCAAACUAUACCCACAUAAAAGAUCAUUCACUCUCUCUCUCUCUCUCUCUC